AGUCGACGAUGACCUCCAGCUUGCUGGGGUGAUUAGUGGCGAACGGGUGAGUAACACGUGAGUAACCUGCCCUUCACUCUGGGAUAAGCACUGGAAACGGUGUCUAAUACCGGAUACGACCUCCGACCGCAUGGUCAGAGGGUGGAAAGAAUUUUGGUGGAGGAUGGACUCGCGGCCUAUCAGGUAGUUGGUGAGGUAAUGGCUCACCAAGCCGACGACGGGUAGCCGGCCUGAGAGGGUGACCGGCCACACUGGGACUGAGACACGGCCCAGACUCCUACGGGAGGCAGCAGUGGGGAAUAUUGCACAAUGGGCGAAAGCCUGAUGCAGCAACGCCGCGUGAGGGACGAAGGCCUUCGGGUUGUAAACCUCUUUUAGUAGGGAAGAAGCGACUGGGUUUUCCUGGGAGUGACGGUACCUGCAGAAAAAGCACCGGCUAACUACGUGCCAGCAGCCGCGGUAAUACGUAGGGUGCAAGCGUUGUCCGGAAUUAUUGGGCGUAAAGAGCUCGUAGGCGGUUUGUCGCGUCUGCUGUGAAAACCCGAGGCUCAACCUCGGGCCUGCAGUGGGUACGGGCAGACUAGAGUGCGGUAGGGGAGAUUGGAAUUCCUGGUGUAGCGGUGGAAUGCGCAGAUAUCAGGAGGAACACCAAUGGCGAGGGCAGAUCUCUGGGCCGUAACUGACGCUGAGGAGCGAAAGCAUGGGGAGC
rnacentral:rRNA from 1 species